UACAGAGGUGCUCAAGCGUUGUUCGGAUUCAUUGGGCGUAAAGGGUGUGUAGGUGGCGCCGUAAGUCGGGUGUGAAAUUUCGGAGCUUAACUCCGAAACUGACAUUCGAUACUGCGGUGCUUGAGGACUGGAGAGGAGUACUGGAAUUCAUGGUGUAGCAGUGAAAUGCGUAGAGAUCAUGAGGAAGACCAGUGGCGAAGGCGGGUCUCU
rnacentral:rRNA from 1 species